rnacentral:rRNA from 1 species
UUGAACGCUGGCGGCAGGCCUAACACAUGCAAGUCGAGCGGUAGCACAGAGAGCUUGCUCUCGGGUGACGAGCGGCGGACGGGUGAGUAAUGUCUGGGAAACUGCCUGAUGGAGGGGGAUAACUACUGGAAACGGUAGCUAAUACCGCAUAAUGUCGCAAGACCAAAGUGGGGGACCUUCGGGCCUCAUGCCAUCAGAUGUGCCCAGAUGGGAUUAGCUAGUAGGUGGGGUAACGGCUCACCUAGGCGACGAUCCCUAGCUGGUCUGAGAGGAUGACCAGCCACACUGGAACUGAGACACGGUCCAGACUCCUACGGGAGGCAGCAGUGGGGAAUAUUGCACAAUGGGCGCAAGCCUGAUGCAGCCAUGCCGCGUGUGUGAAGAAGGCCUUCGGGUUGUAAAACACUUUCAGCGGGGAGGAAGGCGGUGAGGUUAAUAACCUCACCGAUUGACGUUACCCGCAGAAGAAGCACCGGCUAACUCCGUGCCAGCAGCCGCGGUAAUACGGAGGGUGCAAGCGUUAAUCGGAAUUACUGGGCGUAAAGCGCACGCAGGCGGUCUGUCAAGUCGGAUGUGAAAUCCCCGGGCUCAACCUGGGAACUGCAUUCGAAACUGGCAGGCUAGAGUCUUGUAGAGGGGGGUAGAAUUCCAGGUGUAGCGGUGAAAUGCGUAGAGAUCUGGAGGAAUACCGGUGGCGAAGGCGGCCCCCUGGACAAAGACUGACGCUCAGGUGCGAAAGCGUGGGGAGCAAACAGGAUUAGAUACCCUGGUAGUCCACGCCGUAAACGAUGUCGAUUUGGAGGUUGUGCCCUUGAGGCGUGGCUUCCGGAGCUAACGCGUUAAAUCGACCGCCUGGGGAGUACGGCCGCAAGGUUAAAACUCAAAUGAAUUGACGGGGGCCCGCACAAGCGGUGGAGCAUGUGGUUUAAUUCGAUGCAACGCGAAGAACCUUACCUGGUCUUGACAUCCACAGAACUUUCCAGAGAUGGAUUGGUGCCUUCGGGAACUGUGAGACAGGUGCUGCAUGGCUGUCGUCAGCUCGUGUUGUGAAAUGUUGGGUUAAGUCCCGCAACGAGCGCAACCCUUAUCCUUUGUUGCCAGCGGUCCGGCCGGGAACUCAAAGGAGACUGCCAGUGAUAAACUGGAGGAAGGUGGGGAUGACGUCAAGUCAUCAUGGCCCUUACGACCAGGGCUACACACGUGCUACAAUGGCAUAUACAAAGAGAAGCGACCUCGCGAGAGCAAGCGGACCUCAUAAAGUAUGUCGUAGUCCGGAUUGGAGUCUGCAACUCGACUCCAUGAAGUCGGAAUCGCUAGUAAUCGUAGAUCAGAAUGCUACGGUGAAUACGUUCCCGGGCCUUGUACACACCGCCCGUCACACCAUGGGAGUGGGUUGCAAAAGAAGUAGGUAGCUUAACCUUCGGGAGGGCGCUUACCACUUUGUGAUUCAUGACUGGG